GGACAUGGGCUGGUAGAGGGAGGUUGGUAAUGGGCCUAAGCAGGGACAUGGGCUGGUGGAGGGACUAAGCAGGGACAUGGGCUGGUAGAGUGAGCUGGUAGAGGGACUAAGCAGGGACAUGGGCUGGUAGAGUGAGCUGGUAGAGGGACUAAGCAGUAGGGAUGGGUAUCGUUAAGAUUUUAAUGGUAUUACUACUCUUACCGAUACUGCUUAUCGAUCCGGUACUUUAAUGCUAUUCUUAUUAUUUUUACGGGAAAAAAUAAAAACAAAUUAAGAAAAGAUAUAUCUCUACCAAUACCAUAGCAUUGUUUUAUUUUCUGAAAUGUCAAAUAAAAAAAAUAAAAAAAUAAAUAAUAUUUACAGCAAAAGAAAAAGCAAUGUUUUGAACAAAUCACUAUUAGAGACUAAUGUUGUGGUGAUGGAAAUGUCAAACAAAUGAAAUUUUCCUGCAGAAGAUAAGACAGUGGUAUAGGGCAACACAGGUGGGGCCUGCAGGUAGGUGCAGAAGAUAAGACAGUGGUAUAGAACAACACAGGUGGGGCCUGCAGGUAGGCUGCAGAAGAUAAGACAGUGGUAUAGGGCAACACAGGUGGGGCCUGCAGGUAGGUGCAGAAGAUAAGACAGUGGUAUAGGGCAACACAGGUGGGGCCUGCAGGUAGGCUGCAGAAGAUAAGACAGUGGUAUAGAGCAACACAGGUGGGGCCUGCAGGUAGGCUGCAGAAGAUAAGACAGUGGUAUAGAGCAACACAGGUGGGGCCUGCAGGUAGGCUGCAGAAGAUAAGACAGUGGUAUAGGGCAACACAGGUGGGGCCUGCAGGUAGGUGCAGAAGAUAAGACAGUGGUAUAGGGCAACACAGGUGGGGCCUGCAGGUAGGCUGCAGAAGAUAAGACAGUGGUAUAGGGCAACACAGGUGGGGCCUGCAGGUAGGCUGCAGAAGAUAAGACAGUGGUAUAGAGCAACACAGGUGGGGCCUGCAGGUAGGCUGCAGAAGAUAAGACAGUGGUAUAGGGCAACACAGGUGGGGCCUGCAGGUAGGCUGCAGAAGAUAAGACAGUGGUAUAGAGCAACACUUGUGGGGCCUGCAGGUAGGCUGCAGAAGAUAAGACAGUGGUAUAGAGCAACACAGGUGGGGCCUGCAGGUAGGCUGCAGAAGAUAAGACAGUGGUAUAGGGCAACACAGGUGGGGCCUGCAGGUAGGUGCAGAAGAUAAGACAGUGGUAUAG